rnacentral:rRNA from 1 species
UACGUAGGGUGCAAGCGUUGUCCGGAAUUAUUGGGCGUAAAGAGCUCGUAGGCGGUUUGUCGCGUCGGGAGUGAAAUCCACUGGCUUAACUGGUGGCUUGCUUUCGAUACGGGCAGACUGGAGGUAUGCAGGGGAGAACGGAAUUCCUGGUGUAGCGGUGAAAUGCGCAGAUAUCAGGAGGAACACCGGUGGCGAAGGCGGGUCUCUGGGCCGAUACUGACGCUGAGGAGCGAAAGCGUGGGGAGCGAACAGG